rnacentral:rRNA from 1 species
AUGCACGCUGGCGGUAUGCUUAACCCAUGCAAGUCGAACGGACUCUUCGGAGUUAGCGGCGGACGGGUGAGUAACGCGUGAGAAUCUGGCUUUGGGUUCGGGACAACCACUGGAAACGGUGGCUAAUACCGGAUGUGCCGAGAGGUAAAAGAGAAAUUGCCUGAAGAUGAGCUCGCGUCUGAUUAGCUAGUUGGUGAGGUAAAGGCUCACCAAGGCAGCGAUCAGUAGCUGGUCUGAGAGGAUGACCAGCCACACUGGGACUGAGACACGGCCCAGACUCCUACGGGAGGCAGCAGUGGGGAAUUUUCCGCAAUGGGCGAAAGCCUGACGGAGCAAUACCGCGUGAGGGAAGAAGGCUCUUGGGUUGUAAACCUCUUUUCUUAGGGAAGAACAAAAUGACGGUACCUAAGGAAUCAGCAUCGGCUAACUCCGUG